UUCAGGCUGCAGCUGCCCCAUUCCCAACAACUCCCAACGGGCGCCCAAACACUGUGCCAGCAGCUUGGGGGUGGGACGAGGAGGAAAAAUACACCUGCUUAGGGCUGGGACGAUCACUUUCACGCCUGUUGGGAUUAGAGAUUUUAAGUGUCGUUCCAAAUUGUGCGGAUAAACAGCCUUGUGAAAACUUGUUAGUGCGGCAAAAAGGCAGCUUAGUUGCCUGCCUUUUGUUAUGCGUGAUUUUUAUUGGCGGAUUGGAUUUGAUGAGGUUUAGGGUUUAUUCUAAGAACUCCAUUGAAGAGCUGGGCCUUUUGUCUCCCGCCACAGAGCGUGAAGAUUAUGAAACAUGGGCCAAGCUAAGCCUGCAUUUUGACAGGUAUUAGCUGCUGGGAUACAUGAGGACCACCAGACACAGCAAGGCCUCGCUGCCUGCCACCAUUCCACAGUUGCCAGCCUGACUCCUGCCCAUCCGUCUACUGCAGGCCUGCUGUCUGUCUUGUCCACCUGAGAUCCCUCUCAUGGGUGGCACAGCUCCAUCCACAGGGUCUCUUGGAGAAGAAUGUAAGAAGAGCCUUGCUGCUGGAUCAGCUUCCUCACAACUUCACCAGUCAUGGGCUCUUUUCUGAGGUGGAAGAUGGUUUAGACCAGGAGGACUCCGGAAUUGGAAAUCUAUGGCCUUCCAGAUACUGCUGUAUUACAGCUGCCCAAAUCUCUUAUCAUUGUCCAUGAUGACUAGGGUUGAUGGGAGCUGUAGUCCAACAAUGUCUAGAAGGCCACAGAUUCUCCAGCCCUGGUUUAAGUAGCAGCAGAAACUGUGAAUUAGAUACAUUCAGCUUUAAAUGUGAGGGGACUGACGAGAGGUGGAUUUUUGGACGUGUGCAGUCUGCUGAAAUUCAAGGAUGCUAAAAGCCAACAAACACACAAUCUAUAUUUGGAAUUUGCCAAGGGUAGAGUUUCAUUUAAAGAAAGAACAAGGUUUCUCACGGUAUCCACUGUUCUCUGGAAGCCAGGGAAGAAUUUGCUCCUGACACUCUGUGCAUAAAUGUAGCCUAUUUUCAGAGUGAUUUUUUUACCUCCCUACCCCCCAAUCCUGCAUUCAGUGGUGUCAGUGAAAAACAAAAUCUCAUACAAGUACUAUAAAUCUUGGAGCCCUACUUUCCA